CCCUAAACUUUUUGCGAGAGAGAGAAAAAAGAAAAAUAAUAAUAAUUUAAUAAUCAACGCAAAAGGAUAACUUAAAAUAGGAUGGUAUUGGUUUAAUUUUGAACGAGUAAAUAGAGUAGGAUGGAAUUGGUUUAAUUUUGUCGGUACUGGUUCCUAUUUCGAUAGAAUAAUCCCCUUCUCAAGUUCCUAUUUCGAUAGGAUAGAAAAAUCCCUUUUUCAAUUAUGAAAAUGAAAAUUCAGUUCCCAAAAUUUAACUACACUCCAUAUCAAAAUCAAAUGACUAAUCCAUCAAACUACACUCCAUUUCGAUGGGAUUGGAAAUGAGUAUGAAUCUAACUACACUCCAUUUCUUAUUGAAAUGUUAGGGUUUGGGUUGCAGAAAAUUCGAAGAAGACCAUCAUUAAUCGAUUAAUGGAAUCGUUGCUGAGAAUGAGGAAUCUCUGAACCGUAUUGGAUGCAAUCUGUUGUAUAAUUAGGUAGCUAUUAUCAUUAUGAUAAUUAUUUCAGAUUUUGAUUUUGUUAGAAACGUGUAGGAUCUGAUAAUUUGUUUUGUUUACAACCAUACCUUUUUGUUUCAUGCAGUGAAAUUGUUAAUGGGUAUUAGAAAUUUCUGGCUCCAUCCCUGCGUAGUCUAUCAUCAAACGGAAACAAAGCUCCCAUGAAGUAAAUGCAAACAUUGAAUGAUAUGCCCUGAUGUUUAUUCUGAAAUUUGCGGCUUGAGGCCCACCACCGGUAUAUUUUAGUAGUUUUUUUAGAUAUCCCGGAGGCUCUUUCAACAGAGGUAAUUUCACAGCUCCUCUCCCUUAACAAUUGGCAAAUUCUGGUGGUUUGUUCUUCUGGAUUUUGUUGACCCUCUCCUCAUCUUACAUCAUUGCUUGACAAUGGGGGCAUACUGCAGUUGGUCCUCCGAUAUCAUGCUUUGCCAACUCAAUCACUGAUUAACACAUUUAAAUUUCUUGAAUGGUAAGAAUCUAUCACAUAUGUCCUGGCAUCCUUUUUGACACCUCUUGUAAUACAAUGUUAAUUAAUGACAGGUGAAUAGUAGUAUACAAUGGAAUUCUAAAAAAUAAAUAAUCCAUAUCAUGGUCAGCAGCAUCUGCUGUAUUGAUAGCUGAAUCAAUAGCAGACUGGUUUAGAUUUUUUUUGCAUGUUUUUUACUUGUUCUUCUUAUAGGUGUAAGAAUUGAUACAUGACCCUUAUCGAUAUCAGAGAUUCUCAUGUCAAUCUCAUCAUUGUGACGGAGUCGUAUAGAUCUCAACUGCAUAUAAAAGGGCUUACGCAACAAAAUUGAAACUGAGCUCCCUAGCAAGCUUGGUGACUUGGUUAUUUAAGCUUGGUAUUUCAGGUGGGAGAACCAUGUUUGCUGGAAAUAAGAACGGUUUUGGUAUGCUAUAAUUGGUAUUUCAUGGUGGAAGAACGGUGUUUUGCUGGAGAAGAAAAUCACAGAAGAAAAGCUCUCACGGGGAAAGAACUCAAUUGGUUUGCUGCAGAAGAAAACGAACAAUCUGUUAGAUUUUUUCAACUCUGCUAGGGUUAUCAAGUAACACCAACGAAUGUAUUGUCCACCUAAUUGGGCGUUACUAACGUCCAGCCAAGUAUUCAGUAUAAACGAAGUGUAAUAUAAUAAAUUGCUUAUAAAUCAACAUAUGAGGAAGCUACAUCCUCUUUUUCCCUAA